GACGAACGCUGGCGGCGUGCCUAACACAUGCAAGUCGAGCGGAGCUAGUAGCAAUAUUAGCUUAGCGGCGGACGGGUGAGUAACGCGUGGGCAACCUGCCUUCUACAGGGGGAUAACACAGGGAAACUUGUGCUAAUACCGCGUAACAUACUUAAGGGACAUCCCUUGGGUAUCAAAGGAGCAAUCCGGUAGAAGAUGGGCCCGCGUCCGAUUAGCUAGUUGGAGGUGUAACGGACCACCAAGGCGACGAUCGGUAGCCGAACUGAGAGGUUGAUCGGCCGCAUUGGGACUGAGACACGGCCCAGACUCCUACGGGAGGCAGCAGUGGGGAAUAUUGCGCAAUGGGGGAAACCCUGACGCAGCAACGCCGCGUGAAGGAUGAAGGUCUUCGGAUUGUAAACUUCUUUAGUCGGGGACGAAGAAAUGACGGUACCCGAAGAAUAAGCCACGGCUAACUACGUGCCAGCCGCCGCCGUAA
rnacentral:rRNA from 1 species